rfam:Salmo salar isolate Sally breed double haploid chromosome ssa13, whole genome shotgun sequence.
UAGCUCAGUUGGUAGAGCAUGGUGUUUGCAACACCAGAGUUGUGGGUUCGAUUCCCAC